AGUAAAAGUCGUAACAAGGUUUCCGUAGGUGAACCUGCGGAAGGAUCAUUACUGAUUCAUUCAUCUAUUAUCAUACACACACUUGUGCACCAACUGUAGGUUAGCUUGAAAGAGCAAGACCUAUGUAUCUCUACAUAACACUAUAUUGCAUGUCUAAAGAAUGAAAAACUAUCUAUACAACUUUCAGCAACGGAUCUCUUGGUUCUCGCAUCGAUGAAGAACGCAGCGAAUUGCGAUAAGUAAUGUGAAUUGCAGAUUUUCAGUGAAUCAUCGAAUCUUUGAACGCACCUUGCGCUCCUUGGUAUUCCAAGGAGCAUGCCUGUUUGAGUGUCAUUUGAAUUCUCAACCUUGUCUCUGAUGAGGUGUUUGGACUUGGAGGUUGCUGGCGGCCUUAUAUCCUAUAGGCUAUCAGCUCUUCUUAAAUGUAUUAGCGAUUGGCAAGUACCAAUUAGCCUUUGACAUGAUAACCAUCUUGUCGUAGUGAAUUUUUGGUAUGAUCGCUUCAAGUACGUUACUUAGCUACUAGCUUGGCUGCAAGGCUGGCGAACGCGGUAUACAUAUACACAUAUACUUGGCCUCAAAUCAGGUAGGACUACCCGCUGAACUUAAGCAUAUCAAUAAGCGGAGGAAAAGAAACUAACAAGGAUUCCCCUAGUAACUGCGAGUGAAGAGGGAAAAGCUCAAAUUUUGAAUCUGGCAGUCAGCUCUGGCUGUCCGAGUUGUAAUCUAGAGAAGCGUAUUCCGCGCUGG
rnacentral:rRNA from 1 species